rnacentral:sRNA from 1 species
AUGCUAGUUCAGGAGGCCAGAUUUCAAGCCAUGGAACAGGGAAUAUUACACAACAGACAAGCUUCUCAAAACCCUUCCUCACCAGUUUGCCUCACCCCUGACCUGGAGGGACAGCUAGGAGGAGGUAGAGGGUAGUUUAGAGUCCUUGGCCCAUUCAGUCUUUGGCCUCU